ACGCACGCUGGCGGCGUGCCUAAUACAUGCAAGUCGCACGCUUCUUUCCUCCCGAGUGCUUGCACUCAAUUGGAAAGAGGAGUGGCGGACGGGUGAGUAACACGUGGGUAACCUACCCAUCAGAGGGGGAUAACACUUGGAAACAGGUGCUAAUACCGCAUAACAGUUUAUGCCGCAUGGCAUAAGAGUGAAAGGCGCUUUCGGGUGUCGCUGAUGGAUGGACCCGCGGUGCAUUAGCUAGUUGGUGAGGUAACGGCUCACCAAGGCCACGAUGCAUAGCCGACCUGAGAGGGUGAUCGGCCACACUGGGACUGAGACACGGCCCAGACUCCUACGGGAGGCAGCAGUAGGGAAUCUUCGGCAAUGGACGAAAGUCUGACCGAGCAACGCCGCGUGAGUGAAGAAGGUUUUCGGAUCGUAAAACUCUGUUGUUAGAGAAGAACAAGGACGUUAGUAACUGAACGUCCCCUGACGGUAUCUAACCAGAAAGCCACGGCUAACUACGUG
rnacentral:rRNA from 1 species